GACGAACGCUGGCGGCGUGCCUAAUACAUGCAAGUCGAGCGGACUAAUGGGAGCUUGCUCCCGUUAGUUAGCGGCGGACGGGUGAGUAACGCGUGGGCAACCUACCUGUAAGACUGGGAUAACUUCGGGAAACCGGAGCUAAUACCGGAUGACAUAAAGGAACUCCUGUUCCUUUAUUGAAAGAUGGCUUCGGCUAUCACUUACAGAUGGGCCCGCGGCGCAUUAGCUAGUUGGUGAGGUAACGGCUCACCAAGGCGACGAUGCGUAGCCGACCUGAGAGGGUGAUCGGCCACACUGGGACUGAGACACGGCCCAGACUCCUACGGGAGGCAGCAGUAGGGAAUCUUCCGCAAUGGACGAAAGUCUGACGGAGCAACGCCGCGUGAGCGAUGAAGGCCUUCGGGUCGUAAAGCUCUGUUGUUAGGGAAGAAUAAGUGCUAGUUGAAUAAGCUGGCACCUUGACGGUACCUAACCAGAAAGCCACGGCUAACUACGUGCCAGCCGCCGCCGUAA
rnacentral:rRNA from 1 species